GCGGAAUUCGUGGUGUAGCGGUGAAAUGCUUAGAUAUCACGAAGAACUCCGAUUGCGAAGGCAGCCUGCUAAGCUGCAACUGACAUUGAGGCUCGAAAGUGUGGGUAUCAAACAGGAUUAGAUACCCUGGUAGUCCACACGGUAAACGAUGAAUACUCGCUGUUUGCGAUAUACUGCAAGCGGCCAAGCGAAAGCGUUAAGUAUUCCACCUGGGGAGUACGCCGGCAACGGUGAAACUCAAAGGAAUUGACGGGGGCCCGCACAAGCGGAGGAACAUGUGGUUUAAUUCGAUGAUACGCGAGGAACCUUACCCGGGCUUAAAUUGCAGAUGAAUUACGGUGAAAGCCGUAAGCCGCAAGGCAUCUGUGAAGGUGCUGCAUGGUUGUCGUCAGCUCGUGCCGUGAGGUGUCGGCUUAAGUGCCAUAACGAGCGCAACCCUUGUUGUCAGUUACUAACAGGUUCCGCUGAGGACUCUGACAAGACUGCCAUCGUAAGAUGUGAGGAAGGUGGGGAUGACGUCAAAUCAGCACGGCCCUUACGUCCGGGGCUACACACGUGUUACAAUGGGGGGUACAGAGGGCCGCUACCACGCGAGUGGAUGCCAAUCCCAAAAACCUCUCUCAGUUCGGACUGGAGUCUGCAACCCGACUCCACGAAGCUGGAUUCGCUAGUAAUCGCGCAUCAGCCACGGCGCGGUGAAUACGUUCCCGGGCCUUGUACACACCGCCCGUCAAGCCAUGGGAGCCGGGGGUACCUGAAGUGCGUAACCGCGAGGAGCGCCCUAGGGUAAAACUGGUGACUGGGGCUAAGUCGUAACAAGGUAGCCGUACCGGAAGGUGCGGCUG
rnacentral:rRNA from 1 species